AGAGUUUGAUCCUGGCUCAGGAUGAACGCUGGCGGCGUGCUUAACACAUGCAAGUCGAACGAUAAACCUCACUUGUGGGGGGAUUAGUGGCGAACGGGUGAGUAACACGUGAGUAACCUGCCCUUAACUCUGGGAUAAGCCUGGGAAACUGGGUCUAAUACCGGAUAUGACUUCUCAUCGCAUGGUGGGGGGUGGAAAGCUUUUGUGGUUUUGGAUGGACUCGCGGCCUAUCAGCUUGUUGGUGAGGUAAUGGCUUACCAAGGCGACGACGGGUAGCCGGCCUGAGAGGGUGACCGGCCACACUGGGACUGAGACACGGCCCAGACUCCUACGGGAGGCAGCAGUGGGGAAUAUUGCACAAUGGGCGCAAGCCUGAUGCAGCGACGCCGCGUGAGGGAUGAAGGCCUUCGGGUUGUAAACCUCUUUCAGUAGGGAACAAGCGUAAGUGAGGGUACCUGCAGAAGAAGCGCCGGCUAACUACGUGCCAGCAGCCGCGGUAAUACGUAGGGCGCAAGCGUUAUCCGGAAUUAUUGGGCGUAAAGAGCUCGUAGGCGGUUUGUCGCGUCUGCCGUGAAAGUCCGGGGCUCAACUCCGGAUCUGCGGUGGGUACGGGCAGACUAGAGUGCAGUAGGGGAGACUGGAAUUCCUGGUGUAGCGGUGAAAUGCGCAGAUAUCAGGAGGAACACCGAUGGCGAAGGCAGGUCUCUGGGCUGUAACUGACGCUGAGGAGCGAAAGCAUGGGGAGCGAACAGGAUUAGAUACCCUGGUAGUCC
rnacentral:rRNA from 1 species